ACUGUAUUUACUUUAUAUAAACUGUACAUUUAUUAUAAAAAAAGUUUAUUUUUAUAUCAACCAAUGCUCUCUUCACUAGUAUUGCAAUAUUUCUUUCUCAUACAUUUAACCUGACAGGAAGAGAAAUCAGAAUAAGAGAUAGGCGUCUAUUGCGAAGAGAAAGCUUCAUUUGAAAAGAGAAAGCUAUAUUUCCUUACAGUGAAAAUUUUAUUGAUGAUUUCAUCUAUAAAAAUUAUUAUGCGUGUUCCACUUGCAAUACUAUAUGUGUUUUAGUGUUCAAUAUACUGUACACUUAAAACGAUGAGCAAUUUACGAAAUAGCGCUUCCCGUCAAUUUUAUUCAAGGUAUUACGCUGAUCUGUUGUCUUAUUAGACGAAUAAAACUACAAUUAUAAAGAAAGAUGGAACUAGUAUCGAAUAUAAUUUUCAGUGAAUCGUUUUGGUUACCUCAUUAUGUAAAAUGGAAAGAUUUCGAAAACGUUACGAAAAUAGAUAUGCCAGUAGCUUGGCAUUGUUUUCUAGCCUUACCUAUUGCUGUGGGCCUUUUUAUACUAAGAUUGUUAUUCGAAAGAUUUAUUUCUACUCCUAUUGGAAGAAUAUUUAAACUAAAGGAAUCUCGACCAAAAAAACCUAGAGAUAAUGAGUUAUUGGAAAAUGAAUUCCGGUCUGCUUUUAAGAAAACAAUACCCAAUUACGAAUCAUUAUUAGAAUUAUCAAAAAAGACUGAUCUAACAGUAAGACAAUUAGAGAGAUGGUGGAGAAGACGGCGAAUAUUUGGUAAUCCAAGCGAAAUGCAAAAAUUCAACGAAGCCAGUUGGAGAUUAACUUUCUAUUGUUUGGUUUUCUGGUAUGGACUAAUCAUCUUAUUCGAUAAAGAUUACUUUUGGGAUACAAGAAACUGCUGGUCUAAUUAUCCGUAUCAGCAUCUUUCCAAAUCAAUAUGGUGGUAUUAUCAAAUAGAAAUGGCAUUUUAUUGGUCGUUAUUGAUAUCUGUAUUUAUGGAUACUAAAAGAAAGGAUUUUGCGAUAAAUCUUUGCCAUCAUUUUGCGACACUUUCUCUAAUGAUAUUUAGUUUUAUACCAAAUUUCAUCAGAAUGGGAUCAUUGGUUUUAUGUGUUCACGAUGCUGUGGAUGGAUGGUUGGAGAGUGCAAAAUUGGCUAAAUAUUUAAAAUUUUCCAAGCUAACUGAUGUUCUCUUCAUAAUUUUUGCUAGUGUAUGGGUUAUUACAAGGCUAUGCAUAUUUCCAUUCUACCUCAUUAGAUCAACUUUAUUUGAAUCAGAAGCGGUAAUGCAAGGAAAAUAUGUUCCAGCUCACGUUUUAUUCAACAUUCUAUUAAUUACCUUGCUGAUUCUUCACAUAUAUUGGUUCUAUUUAAUAUGUAGAAUGUUGCACAAGUAUCUUAUUUCUGGAGAAAUUGAAAAAGAUAUCAGAAGUGAAACUGAACCAGAUACCUCUGAUAACGAAGUAAGGAAGCAAAAUGGUAACGGUAUUAGUAGACAAUAAACUAUAAUAAAGAGAAACGUAAUGUAAAGUACUCUGAACAAAAUUUCAAUAGAAGAUAUAGUAAAAAUAACUCUUGAGGAGAAGAAGAGAAAGAUGAAGACAAAGAAAAUAAUUAUGUUAUUAAUCAUAUUUCAAAAAAAAGACUGAAAGUAGAAAAAGCAAAACGUUUCUUUUAUGAAAUAAAUGAAAAGUUUUAUUUUGUUGUUUACCUCUUUGUUUAUCUUUUUCUCUCCUCUCUAUCUCCCUCUCUUUCUCUUCCUCCCUCUCUCUUUUUGUCAAUCUACCUCUUCUAUUAUUUUGCAAAAUUGUAUUCAUAAACUUUGAUAUUUCUAAGUGUUUUUUCUAAAGGAAUAGAAAAAGAGUUAAUUAGGUUAUUUAUAUACAUUUUUAAAAAUAAAAUAUGAAUGUUUAUUAGCAAUAUUUUCCAGAAAUAUGUUCUUUUUACACUUACACACGUGUAUGUAAUGAAGUUUACAUAGAGUCUUCAAGGAUAAUUAGUCCUAUAUUUGUCAGGUUAACACGCUGAUUUUUUUUCUCUUUAAUAUUUCAUUUCUAAACCAUCGAAAGCACUUCUAAUACUACAGAUAUAUAUAUAGUGCGCGAAAAUUUGUGACUUGUUUCUCUAUCCCUACUUCUGCUUAGAAACUUUACGAAGAAGAUGGUCUUAUGUAUGUGAGCUUCAUCUAGACUAUAAAGAGUAUUGAUUGGAGGAAUAAAAUGGUCUUUUACAAUGUCUACGUAAUUCUCUUCUUUUAUUCUGGAUCUCACAAGCUCAAAAGAAGUCUUUCCUUCGUAUAACACUUCUCCUCAUAUUAUCACACUACCUCCACGCUGUAUCUAUAGGAAAAGAUUCUUUUUUCUUUGUGGUAGUCAUACCAAUAGCAAAUCCAAUCAUCAGGCCCAUUAAGAUUGAAAUCUCUCGUCAUUAAAAAUGAUCUUAUGCCAAGAAUCAAAAAUAAAAUACUUAUAACAAAGCUAUAUGUUCCAUGUUUUAGCUUUGGCUUUUUCACUCAAUUUUUAUAAUGCUCUAUACUUUUAGAAUGUUUCUGCUGGUGUAUUUACUACCAGGUAGAAGUAAUUGAGUUUUAAUUUUUCUGGCUGAAAUUUGCUUGUUGCCAGCAGCAUCUACUAUCCUUUUCCUUAUAAUGGUGCAGUAUAGUUUCUUUAUGCCCUUAUUCAUCAUCCUUAGGCCAAAGCUUUCUGGAUUCCUGAGAAAUCUGGAAAUAGUAAAGUUACUGCUCUUCAGUCUUAUAGCAAUUUUGCUCUUGCUGGUAUGCCUUUUGCUCAGUAAACAAGUAUAGAAUGACUAUUUUUAACAAAUUGACGAAGAACACUCUUAAUUGUUGAAUAAAAACUCAAUAUAUACAGUAUAUAUACAAUAUAUAUUAUAUCGAAUCCUCUGACCAAUUUUAAUAAACUACCUAACAAAUAUCUUGGUUUGGAAUGAGAGUGUGAA
rnacentral:misc_RNA from 1 species